rnacentral:rRNA from 1 species
GACGAACCGAGCGAACGUUGUUCGGAAUCACUGGGCUUAAAGGGCGCGUAGGCGGUUCGCUAAGUUGAAUGUGAAAACUCUGGGCUUAACCCAGAGCCUGCAUUCAAUACUGGCGGGCUAGAGUUCUGGAGGGGAUAGCGGAAUUCCUGGUGUAGCGGUGAAAUGCGUAGAUAUCAGGAGGAACACCGGUGGCGAAGGCGGCUAUCUGGACAGAGUCUGACGCUGAGGCGCGAAAGCUAGGGGAGCAAACAGG